rnacentral:rRNA from 1 species
UAUAUCGUGAACGGUAAACGGCCUUACCAAGGCGAUAGAUGCAUACGCCGAGUUGACNAGACUGAUCGGCCACAUUGGGACUUGAGACACGGCCCACAACUCCUACGGGAGUGCCAGCAGUAGUGGAAUCUUCCACAAUGGACGCAAGUCUGAUGGAGCAACGCCGCGUGAGUGAAGAAGGUUUUCGGAUCGUAAAGCUCUGUUGUUGGUGAAGAAGGUUAGNGGUAGUAACUGGCCUUUAUUUGACGGUAUUCAACCAGAAAGUCACGG